CUUGACACUUUUGACUUCUGACAUUAAAUUAUGUCAAUGUUCUUUUCUAAUUUAGAGUAUUAGAUUAAUAUAAACGAUAUUUUAUUUGCUAAACCAAACUCAGUUACGAGUUACAAGAAAACCUUUGAAUAUUUCUCUGAGUAAAAGUUAAUACAUUAAACGAAACAAUGCCUCCAAAAACAAUGUUUGAAGAAGAGGUCUUUGUAUCUGAAGAAGAAGAAGAAUGUUUCGCUACUUUAAUUUAUAAAUUAAGAUAUCAGCAACAAUUGGCGAAAAGGGAUGCCUUGAUAAAAUCAACACAAGAGUUAGAUGAAGAUAUAGCUAAGAUACAAGCAAAAAAGAGGGUUUUGGUUAGCCAAUUACUAAGCGGCCUUGUAAUGUAUAUAAACACCUACAAAAAAACUGUCUAAAUUUGCAUUGGUGUAAUAACGAAAAUUAUUUGUAAGCAUAACCAUACUAUACUUUUAAGUUUUUGUCUUUUGAUGUUGAGUUAAGCAUUCGCUUUACGACAGUUGUUUAAAUUUGCCUAUUGCUACAAGUAAUAGACAUUUUUACCAAAAAUGACAGAUUUUUUUAAAUUCUAUUGAGGCUUAGGUUAAUAGGAUUCUUUACAGUUUGGGAAAGUAUUUUAUAAUUUGUAAUUGUAAAUUUUCUUGUUUAUGAUACUCAUGUUAUGCUAAAAAGCUAACAUUAAUUAAUGAAUACUCAGUCUUUCUCAAAAUAAUUGCCCAUUUAUAUUUAGAAAUAUAAGACAGUAUUUAGUUUUAUCCAUAAACUUAGUAUAUAAUUGAACCUAUUACAGUAUUUUAAUAGUGUGGAGUCAUAUAUAAUUGGAUAAGCAUCAGUGUUCUGAAGAAAAGAUGACAAAAAGCAGGAUAUCUCUUUAUAUGAACUUAUUGAGCCAUCUACCAGAACAAGUCUUUGUAAAGCAAAAUCUGCAUUUUCUUCAGUGCAUAAAUCACAGUUUGAUGAAGUCCUCAGUUUGAUUUUAUAUAAAUGAAAUGAAAAAAGUUCAUUUGAAUCCUAUUAAUUGUUGUGAUAAAUUUCCUGGAAGGAUCUUUUGACGUGAAGUACCAUGAUUUACUGGAAAUAGGUUUUUUUAAUAUCGCCAUACCAUUUUCUUUAUUUUCACUCCACUUACAAUUCCAUUUACUGUACAUUUUUCUUUUAAACUAUCGAAAUCAACCAUCGGUACUAAAAGAAAUUUAUGAUAAUUUGUCAACAACUUCAUUUCCAGUAAUGCCGGAGUGAGAUGGGACCCACAUAAAUUCUAUAUUUUUUUCUGAUGUAUAGAACAGUGCUGUACCAUGCUCAUACUAUCGUUAGAUGAUUUAUCGAUUCUGUAUAGGAUUGUAAAUCGAAACUCAAAACUUGCAAUUUUAUUUAACAAUUAAUAAUUUUAGUAGUUAAUAAUUAUUUAUUUAACUUCAGUACACAAGUAAUAAAUUGGUAUAUUAUGUAAUAAUUGUGUUUUAAAAGAAUUAUAUUGCAGAGCAAAGAGCUCAGCCGUGUAAUAAUAUUAAAAAAUUUAUUUU